rnacentral:rRNA from 1 species
CCUACGGGUGGCAGCAGUGAGGAAUAUUGGUCAAUGGACGAGAGUCUGAACCAGCCAAGUAGCGUGAAGGAUGACUGCCCUAUGGGUUGUAAACUUCUUUUAUAUGGGAAUAAAACGUUCCACGUGUGGGAUUUUGUAUGUACCAUAUGAAUAAGGAUCGGCUAACUCCGUGCCAGCAGCCGCGGUAAUACGGAGGAUCCGAGCGUUAUCCGGAUUUAUUGGGUUUAAAGGGAGCGUAGGUGGAUUGUUAAGUCAGUUGUGAAAGUUUGCGGCUCAACCGUAAAAUUGCAGUUGAAACUGGCAGUCUUGAGUACAGUAGAGGUGGGCGGAAUGCGUGGUGUAGCGGUGAAAUGCUUAGAUAUCACGCAGAACUCCGAUUGCGAAGGCAGUUCACUGGACUGCAGCUGACACUGAGGCUCGAAAGUGUGGGUAUCAAACAGGAUUAGAUACCCUUGUAGUC